GACGAACGCUGGCGGCGUGCUUAACACAUGCAAGUCGAACGGAAAGGCCCUGCUUGCCGGGUGCUCGAGUGGCGAACGGGUGAGUAACACGUGGGUGAUCUGCCCCUUACUUUGGGAUAAGCCUGGGAAACUGGGUCUAAUACUGGAUAGGACCAUGCUGUAGGCGGUGUGGUGGAAAGAUUAGUUUCGGUAAGGGAUGAGCUCGCGGCCUAUCAGCUUGUUGGUGGGGUAAUGGCCUACCAAGGCGUCGACGGGUAGCCGGCCUGAGAGGGUGGACGGCCACAUUGGGACUGAGAUACGGCCCAGACUCCUACGGGAGGCAGCAGUGGGGAAUAUUGCACAAUGGGCGCAAGCCUGAUGCCGCGACGCCGCGUGGGGGAUGACGGCCUUCGGGUUGUAAACUCCUUUCAGCCAUGACGAAGCCCUUGUGGUGACGGUAGUGGUAGAAGAAGCACCGGCUAACUACGUG
rnacentral:rRNA from 1 species